GACGAACGCUGGCGGCGUGCCUAAUACAUGCAAGUCGAACGCUUCUUUCCUCCCGAGUGCUUGCACUCAAUUGGAAAGAGGAGUGGCGGACGGGUGAGUAACACGUGGGUAACCUACCCAUCAGAGGGGGAUAACACUUGGAAACAGGUGCUAAUACCGCAUAACAGUUUAUGCCGCAUGGCAUAAGAGUGAAAGGCGCUUUCGGGUGUCGUUGAUGGAUGGACCCGCGGUGCAUUAGCUAGUUGGUGAGGUAACGGCUCACCAAGGCCACGAUGCAUAGCCGACCUGAGAGGGUGAUCGGCCACACUGGGGCUGAGACACGGCCCAGACUCCUACGGGAGGCAGCAGUAGGGAAUCUUCGGCAAUGGACGAAAGUCUGACCGAGCAACGCCGCGUGAGUGAAGAAGGUUUUCGGAUCGUAAAACUCUGUUGUUAGAGAAGAACAAGGACGUUAGUAACUGAACGUCCCCUGACGGUAUCUAACCAGAAAGCCACGGCUAACUACGUG
rnacentral:rRNA from 1 species